rnacentral:rRNA from 1 species
AGCGUACACGGUGGAUGCCCUGGCAGUCAGAGGCGAUGAAGGACGUGCUAAUCUGCGAAAAGCGUCGGUAAGGUGAUAUGAACCGUUAUAACCGGCGAUGUCCGAAUGGGGAAACCCAGUGCAAUUCGUUGCACUAUCGUUAACUGAAUACAUAGGUUAACGAGGCGAACCGGGGGAACUGAAACAUCUAAGUACCCCGAGGAAAAGAAAUCAACCGAGAUUCCCCCAGUAGCGGCGAGCGAACGGGGAGCAGCCCAGAGUCUGAAUCAGCUUGUGUGUUAGUGGAACGGUCUGGAAAGUCCGACGGUACAGGGUGAUAGUCCCGUACACCAAAAUGCACAGGUUGUGAACUCGAAGAGUAGGGCGGGACACGUGGUAUCCUGUCUGAAUAUGGGGGGACCAUCCUCCAAGGCUAAAUACUCCUGACUGACCGAUAGUGAACCAGUACCGUGAGGGAAAGGCGAAAAGAACCCCGGCGAGGGGAGUGAAAAAGAACCUGAAACCGUGUACGUACAAGCAGUGGGAGCACCUUCGGGUGUGACUGCGUACCUUUUGUAUAAUGGGUCAGCGACUUAUAUUCUGUAGCAAGGUUAACCGUAUAGGGGAGCCGCAGGGAAACCGAGUCUUAACUGGGCGUUAAGUUGCAGGGUAUAGACCCGAAACCCGGUGAUCUAGCCAUGGGCAGGUUGAAGGUUGGGUAACACUAACUGGAGGACCGAACCGACUAAUGUUGAAAAAUUAGCGGAUGACUUGUGGCUGGGGGUGAAAGGCCAAUCAAACCGGGAGAUAGCUGGUUCUCCCCGAAAGCUAUUUAGGUAGCGCCUCGUGAAUUCAUCUUCGGGGGUAGAGCACUGUUUCGGCUAGGGGGUCAUCCCGACUUACCAACCCGAUGCAAACUACGAAUACCGAAGAAUGUUAUCACGGGAGACACACGGCGGGUGCUAACGUCCGUCGUGAAGAGGGAAACAACCCAGACCGCCAGCUAAGGUCCCAAAGUCAUGGUUAAGUGGGAAACGAUGUGGGAAGGCACAGACAGCCAGGAUGUUGGCUUAGAAGCAGCCAUCAUUUAAAGAAAGCGUAAUAGCUCACUGGUCGAGUCGGCCUGCGCGGAAGAUGUAACGGGGCUAAACCAUGCACCGAAGCUGCGGCAGCGACACUAUGUGUUGUUGGGUAGGGGAGCGUUCUGUAAGCCUGCGAAGGUGUGCUGUGAGGCAUGCUGGAGGUAUCAGAAGUGCGAAUGCUGACAUAAGUAACGAUAAAGCGGGUGAAAAGCCCGCUCGCCGGAAGACCAAGGGUUCCUGUCCAACGUUAAUCGGGGCAGGGUGAGUCGACCCCUAAGGCGAGGCCGAAAGGCGUAGUCGAUGGGAAACAGGUUAAUAUUCCUGUACUUGGUGUUACUGCGAAGGGGGGACGGAGAAGGCUAUGUUAGCCGGGCGACGGUUGUCCCGGUUUAAGCAUGUAGGCUGGUUAUCCAGGCAAAUCCGGAUAAUCAAGGCUGAGGUGUGAUGACGAGGCACUACGGUGCUGAAGUAACAAAUGCCCUGCUUCCAGGAAAAGCCUCUAAGCAUCAGGUAACAUCAAAUCGUACCCCAAACCGACACAGGUGGUCAGGUAGAGAAUACCAAGGCGCUUGAGAGAACUCGGGUGAAGGAACUAGGCAAAAUGGUGCCGUAACUUCGGGAGAAGGCACGCUGGUGUGUAGGUGAAGUCCCUGCGGAUGGAGCUGAGACCAGUCGAAGAUACCAGCUGGCUGCAACUGUUUAUUAAAAACACAGCACUGUGCAAACACGAAAGUGGACGUAUACGGUGUGACGCCUGCCCGGUGCCGGAAGGUUAAUUGAUGGGGUUAUCCGUAAGGAGAAGCUCUUGAUCGAAGCCCCGGUAAACGGCGGCCGUAACUAUAACGGUCCUAAGGUAGCGAAAUUCCUUGUCGGGUAAGUUCCGACCCGCACGAAAGGUGUAACGACUUGCGCACUGUCUCAACGAGGGACCCGGUGAAAUUGAAGUACCUGUGAAGAUGCAGGUUACCCGCGACUGGACAGAAAGACCCCAUGGAGCUUUACUGCAACCUAAGAUUGAACUUAGUUAAUGAAUGUACAGGAUAGGUGGGAGACGUAGAACCUAGGACGCCAGUUUUAGGGGAGUCGCUGUUGGGAUACCACCCUUUCAUUAAUUGAUUUCUAACGGGCCGAGUAACGACCGGCCGGACAGUCUUAGGCGGGCAGUUUGACUGGGGCGGUCGCCUCCAAAAGAGUAACGGAGGCGCCCAAAGGUUCCCUCAGAGCGGACGGAAAUCGCUCGAAGAGUGUAAAGGCAGAAGGGAGCUUGACUGCGAGACGGACAGGUCGAGCAGGGACGAAAGUCGGGCUUAGUGAUCCGGUGGUGCCGAGUGGAAGGGCCAUCGCUCAACGGAUAAAAGCUACCCUGGGGAUAACAGGCUAAUCUCUCCCAAGAGUCCAUAUCGACGGGGAGGUUUGGCACCUCGAUGUCGGCUCAUCACAUCCUGGGGCUGAAGUAGGUCCCAAGGGUUCGGCUGUUCGCCGAUUAAAGUGGUACGUGAGCUGGGUUCAGAACGUCGUGAGACAGUUCGGUCCCUAUCCAUCGCGGGCGCAAGAAACUUGAAGGGGGCUGCUCCUAGUACGAGAGGACCGGAGUGGACGAACCGCUGGUGUACCAAUUAUCCUGCCAAGGGUACAGUUGGGUAGCUACGUUCGGGACGGAUAAACGCUGAAAGCAUCUAAGCGUGAAACCAGCCUUGAGAUGAGGUUUCU